GACGAACGCUGGCGGCGUGCUUAACACAUGCAAGUCGAACGGAAAGGCCCUUCGGGGUACUCGAGUGGCGAACGGGUGAGUAACACGUGGGUGAUCUGCCCUGCACUUUGGGAUAAGCCUGGGAAACUGGGUCUAAUACCGAAUAGGACUACGGCCUUCAUGGGUUGUGGUGGAAGGCUUUUGCGGUGUGGGAUGGGCCCGCGGCCUAUCAGCUUGUUGGUGGGGUAAUGGCCUACCAAGGCGACGACGGGUAGCCGGCCUGAGAGGGUGACCGGCCACACUGGGACUGAGAGACGGCCCAGACUCCUACGGGAGGCAGCAGUGGGGAAUAUUGCACAAUGGGCGCAAGCCUGAUGCAGCGACGCCGCGUGAGGGAUGACGGCCUUCGGGUUGUAAACCUCUUUCAGCAGGGACGAAGCGCAAGUGACGGUACCUGUAGAAGAAGGACCGGCCAACUACGUGCCAGCAGCCGCAGUAACAC
rnacentral:rRNA from 1 species